rnacentral:rRNA from 1 species
AACGAACGCUGGCGGCAGGCUUAACACAUGCAAGUCGAACGCCCCGCAAGGGGAGUGGCAGACGGGUGAGUAACGCGUGGGAAUCUACCGUACCCUACGGAAUAACGCAUGGAAACGUGUGCUAAUACCGUAUACGCCCUACGGGGGAAAGAUUUAUCGGGGUAUGAUGAGCCCGCGUUGGAUUAGCUAGUUGGUGGGGUAAAGGCCUACCAAGGCGACGAUCCAUAGCUGGUCUGAGAGGAUGAUCAGCCACAUUGGGACUGAGACACGGCCCAAACUCCUACGGGAGGCAGCAGUGGGGAAUAUUGGACAAUGGGCGCAAGCCUGAUCCAGCCAUGCCGCGUGAGUGAUGAAGGCCUUAGGGUUGUAAAGCUCUUUCACCGGAGAAGAUAAUGACGGUGUCCGGAGAAGAAGCCCCGGCUAACUUCGUGCCAGCAGCCGCCGUAACAC